AUUGAACGCUGGCGGCAUGCCUUACACAUGCAAGUCGAACGGUAACAGGUCUUCGGAUGCUGACGAGUGGCGAACGGGUGAGUAAUACAUCGGAACGUGCCUAGUAGUGGGGGAUAACUACUCGAAAGAGUGGCUAAUACCGCAUGAGAUCUACGGAUGAAAGCAGGGGAUCGCAAGACCUUGUGCUACUAGAGCGGCCGAUGGCAGAUUAGGUAGUUGGUGGGAUAAAAGCUUACCAAGCCGACGAUCUGUAGCUGGUCUGAGAGGACGAUCAGCCACACUGGGGCUGAGACACGGCCCAGACUCCUACGGGAGGCAGCAGUGGGGAGUUUUGGACAAUGGGCGCAAGCCUGAUCCAGCAAUGCCGCGUGCAGGAUGAAGGCCUUCGGGUUGUAAACUGCUUUUGUACGGAACGAAAAGCCCCGGGUUAAUACCCUGGGGUCAUGACGGUACCGUAAGAAUAAGCACCGGCUAACUACGUGCCAGCAGCCGCCGUAA
rnacentral:rRNA from 1 species